UUCCAUAGCUAAAUUUCUAUGGUAGUACCUGCUCUAUGUACUAUUAGUAUAAAUGGCCGCAGUAUCUUGACUGUGCAAAGGUAGCAUAAUUAAUUGCCUUAUAAUUGAAGGCUUGUCUGAAUGGUUUGACGUGGUAAUUACAAAUAUUUAGUUUUUAUUUGAAAUUGGUAUGGAGGGCACAGAAUCCUCCAAUAUUAAUUAGACGGAAAGACCCCAGGAUCUUUCAUUUUUGUCUGGGGCAGAUUAAAAUAUUUUAUUUUUAUUUUGACCCUUUUUUGGUUUAGUGAGUUAAGUUACCCUGGGGAUAACAGUGUAAUAGUUUAUUAGAGGCCUUAUCGAAUAAACUGUUUGCUACCUCGAUGUUGACUUAGGUAAAUAGGCUGGGCGCAGUAGUCUAGUCUUUUGGUCUGUUCGACCUUUGAUACCUCC
rnacentral:rRNA from 1 species